CCCUCCCGUCCCCGCCCCCUCGGCCGCUCCGCUCCCUGGCGUGACUCGGCAUAGAGAGCCCUGGGAGCAGCCAGCGCGGCCGCUGCCUCCUCCGUCCAGGCCUCGGCGCCCCCCGAGCCGCUCCCUUUCCUCUCUCGGGUUCUCCUCGGCUUCAUUUUGGAAGCCGGUGGUGUCGCGGCCGCCCUUCCAGGCCCUCCGUGAGGAUGGUGGGAGUGAAGCCGGUCGGGAGCGACCCGGAUUUCCAGCCGGAGCUGAGCGGCGCGGGCUCCAGACUCGCCGUGGUCAAGUUCACCAUGAGAGGGUGUGGACCAUGUUUGAGGAUUGCCCCAGCAUUCAGUUCUAUGAGUAAUAAAUAUCCUCAGGCUGUUUUCUUGGAAGUAGAUGUACAUCAGUGUCAGGGAACAGCUGCCACCAACAAUAUAUCAGCAACACCUACAUUUUUGUUUUUUCGAAACAAAGUGAGAAUUGAUCAAUAUCAAGGAGCAGAUGCUGUGGGACUAGAAGAAAAAAUCAAGCAGCAUUUAGAAAAUGACCCUGGAAGCAAUGAGGACACAGAUAUUCCAAAAGGCUAUAUGGAUCUAAUGCCUUUUAUUAAUAAAGCUGGCUGUGAAUGUCUUAAUGAAAGUGAUGAACAUGGUUUUGACAAUUGUUUACGAAAAGACCUGACCUUUUUGGAAUCUGACUGUGAUGAACAGCUGCUUAUUACUGUGGCUUUCAAUCAACCUGUUAAGCUUUAUUCCAUGAAAUUUCAAGGGCCAGAUAAUGGUCAGGGUCCGAAGUAUGUAAAAAUCUUUAUCAACCUACCCCGAUCUAUGGAUUUUGAAGAGGCAGAAAGAAGUGAACCAACUCAAGCUCUGGAACUAACAGAGGAUGAUAUUAAAGAAGAUGGCAUUGUUCCACUUCGUUAUGUCAAGUUUCAGAAUGUGAACAGUGUAACUAUAUUUGUUCAGUCCAAUCAAGGUGAAGAAGAAACAACAAGAAUUUCAUAUUUUACUUUUAUUGGUACUCCAGUCCAAGCAACAAAUAUGAAUGAUUUCAAGCGACUUUCUGCUGUUGAAUAGCCCGGGAGCCAGGGGGUGAUGACUCCAGUAGUUAGGCCUCUGCCACACAUGUGGGAGACCAGAUUGAGUUCCUGGCUCAUAGCUGCAGCCUGACCCAGCCACAAAAGUUGUGGGUAAUGGAGAAUGAAACAGCAGGUAGUUGGCAAAAAAGGAGAAAGCCACUAAGGUGCAAAAGACACUGGAAGACCAUAUUGCAAUCAGAUCUACAGCUCCUGGAUAAUUGCUUGAUUCUCGCCAGAGACUGUCAAUGUUUCAUUCAUUACCAUUACCAAUAAAUCAUUGCUUUUGUUCA